UCCCCGUUGCCAGGGCAGUCUGAUUAGAAAAAUCCAACUAACUAUAAGGGUUGCGCUCGUUGAUGGACUUAACCAAACAUCUCACGACACGAGCUGACGACGGCCAUGCAUCACCUGUCACCUUGCUCAAUAAAGCACUCUCUACUUUCGUAGAAAUUCAAGGGAUGUCAAGCCCUGGUAAGGUUUUUCGUUUAUCAUCGAAUUAAAGAACACGCUCCACCGCUUGUGCGGGUCCCCGUCAAUUCCUUUAUGUUUUAGUCUUGCGACCGUACUCCACAGGCGGGAUACUUAACGCGUUAGCUUCGCUACUGGGGGGGUCGAUACCCCCAACAGCUAGUAUCCAUCGUUUACGGCGUGGACUAC
rnacentral:misc_RNA from 1 species